rnacentral:rRNA from 1 species
CUACGGGGGGCUCCAGUGGGGAAUAUUGCACAAUGGAGGAAACUCUGAUGCAGCAACGCCGCGUGGAGGAUGACACUUUUCGGAGCGUAAACUCCUUUUAUAUAGGAAGAAGAUGACGGUACUAUAUGAAUAAGCGCCGGCUAACUCCGUGCCGGCAGCCGCGGUAAUACGGAGGGCGCAAGCGUUACUCGGAAUCACUGGGCGUAAAGAGCGUGUAGGCGGAUUAAAAAGUCAGAAGUGAAAUCCUAUAGCUUAACUACAGAACUGCUUCUGAAACUCUUAAUCUAGAAUAUGGGAGAGGUAGAUGGAAUUUCUGGUGUAGGGGUAAAAUCCGUAGAGAUCAGAAGGAAUACCGAUUGCGAAGGCGAUCUACUAGAACAUUAUUGACGCUGAGACGCGAAAGCGUGGGGAGCAAACAGGAUUAGAUACCCUUGUAGUC